AUUGAACGCUGGCGGCAUGCCUUACACAUGCAAGUCGAACGGCAGCACGGGUGCUUGCACCUGGUGGCGAGUGGCGAACGGGUGAGUAAUACAUCGGAACAUGUCCUGUAGCGGGGGAUAGCCCGGCGAAAGCCGGAUUAAUACCGCAUACGAUCUACGGAUGAAAGCGGGGGACCUUCGGGCCUCGCGCUAUAGGGUUGGCCGAUGGCUGAUUAGCUAGUUGGUGGGGUAAAGGCCUACCAAGGCGACGAUCAGUAGCUGGUCUGAGAGGACGACCAGCCACACUGGGACUGAGACACGGCCCAGACUCCUACGGGAGGCAGCAGUGGGGAAUUUUGGACAAUGGGCGAAAGCCUGAUCCAGCAAUGCCGCGUGUGUGAAGAAGGCCUUCGGGUUGUAAAGCACUUUUGUCCGGAAAGAAAUCCUUGGCCCUAAUACGGUCGGGGGAUGACGGUACCGGAAGAAUAAGCACCGGCUAACUACGU
rnacentral:rRNA from 1 species